UGGGGAAUAUUGGACAAUGGAGGAAACUCUGAUCCAGCAAUUCUGUGUGUGUGAAGAAGGUUAUAGGACUGUAAAACACUUUUAGUAGGGAAGAAAAAAAUGACGGUACCUACAGAAGAAGCAACGGCUAAAUACGUGCCAGCAGCCGCGGUAAUACGUAUGUUGCGAGCGUUAUCCGGAAUUAUUGGGCUUAAAGGGCAUCUAGGCGGUAAGACAAGUUGAAGGUGAAAACCUGUGGCUCAACCAUAGGCUUGCCUACAAAACUGUUGAACUAGAGUACUGGAAAGGUGGGUGGAACUACACGAGUAGAGGUGAAAUUCGUAGAUAUGUGUAGGAAUGCCGAUGAUGAAGAUAACUCACUGGACAGAAACUGACGCUGAAGUGCGAAAGCUAGGGGAGCAAACAGG
rnacentral:rRNA from 1 species